CAGCAAAGCGAGGCGGUGCAGGCCAAGUGUGCACCCAGCCGUGGGUCUUCUGUGUCUCCUAAUCAGCAAAUGAUUCUCGCGUCUGUACAACCGGCUGAUGAAGAACAAAUGAAGUGGGACUUCAAGCGAUAUCACCAUCACAAAGGAAACGUUUACCCGCAGUUCAUCACCCCGAGCGCCCUCUAAAUCAGCGUGAAGAGGGACGCAAGACUGUAUCAGCCCAUUUCCAGAGGAGCAGCACUGCACCCUGCGCUGCAUGCGAGGAAGCUCUGCCGGGGACACGGAGCAGCCGAGGCACUGCGCCCAACCAAACGCACUCGGUGCAUCAGCUGCAGCUUUGGAGUGCCUUUGCCAUGGGUACGUGGGUUUUGGUUAGACUAGAAUGGGGGCAGAGAGAGUUCCAUCUGCCAGGCAAAAAAAUGAAGACUUUGGCUAUCCCAAAGCUCUUGCAGUCUAAAUUCACAAGUGGAACAACAGAGCAGAGAAGUUAAAGGACACAGAAUAAGUCAUGCAGGUGUGGCAUAAAAAAACCAGAGUGUUCUCACUGUUCCGGACUAUCGCCAGGGCUCUGGGACCAUCCCCAGGAUGGAAAAAUAACUAAACACCAAAUUAAUGA